UUUUUUUUUUUUACCAAACUCCUUCAGGAGUCCUUAUCCGGGCACGCGCACCACACAGCACAGGCGGCGACGCAAGCAGCGGGACAGCGCGGGCGUCAAAUCCGCCGGGCGGCGAGGCCGGUGGGGUGGCGCGGACGGCGAAAGGCGAGGCCGGCGGGGCGCCGGGGCUGCGCGGGCGGCGGAAACGGCGAAUCCGCGGCGGCAGCACGGGCGGCGGGCGGCGAGGCCGGCGGGGCACCGGGGCGGCGGGCGGCGAGACCGCCGGGGCGGCGCGGGCGGCGGGCGGCGAGACCGCCGGGGCGGCGCGGGCGGCGGGCGGCGAGACCGCCGGGGCAGCGCGGGACGAGGACGAGUCCGGCGGGUGGAGAGCCAGACGGGCGGCGGCCGGAGCUGACGAAGAAGAAGAGCACGCAAGUGCAACGUGCGGGAAAAAAAAAAAGAACCCUAAGGCAGAUUGGGAAGAAAUCUAACCCUAGUUCGGCUCUAAUACCAUGUUAGGAAUAGCACUUGUAUUCAUAACAGGGGCUCUAGGCCCAUAUAUAUACAGGUACAAGAAGGGAAAAAUAUACAGAAAACCCCCUAAUACAAUAUACAUCUAACAGCAGUAUCCUGCACAGUCGACUGAAAAAUGCCGUAUGCCUCAUUUCCUUGGUUUUGCUUCGUUCUAUAUGGGUGUGCCUGGUUUUUUGUGCUCAGUCCCAUCUAGUUUUUUGUCUUCAUCCGCAAGGAAUUCUACUUUGGAUUGUUUCUAGCUGAAACUUCGAAGUUGGUCCGUCGGGGAGAAGGGUGAUGAUGAAUAAAUUUCGGAUCAGUGAUUGUGGAAGGCUCUGGAUUGUUUAGAUCAUGAGAUGCAUUGGCUCGUGAUCAUGAGUCGAUUGAGAAAUGGUGUGCAUAUUAUUUCCUUCAUUUUUCUUCGUUUAAGGUGGGAGUACCUGGUCCGUGGCGAUCAGUCCCAUCUAGUGUUAGUCUGCAUCUAUGUCUGAUUGCACUCUGGAUUAGUGCUGCUCAGCAUGCAUAUUUGUGCAUUCCUAGGUGAAACUUCAAAGUUUGUCAGUAGUGGUGGUUGAUGAUGAAACAUAAAUUGUUUCGGUGAUCGUGGAACUGGAAGGAUGCAUUCCUAUUAAGUUCAAUGAAUAUUACAUCAGACACUGCAGUUUUUGUCAAAUGUUAUGUUUCAAGCCGUGAUCAUACUUUCGGAGAUUCAAGCCUGCAUUUCGUGUCAGCAGCCGGUUAUCCUUCUCACCUUCUGAAUUCCCAGUCUGGAAUUUGGCUUAUCCAGGCCUGUUUGGAUUGCCCAGUGCAGGAGGCAGUGGUACUACACAACUGUGGAGCUGAACAACAUGGGGUUCAGGAAGUGCAGUUCCAUGAACUAGUGGCUUGUCUAGCCGGAUUGUUACUCCCCUCCAGCAUCGAAGCUGUGACCAAGUCGCGGGUGAUCCUAAAGCUGCUUGCAUGCUUAUCGGCAUUCCGUAGAAUCGGACGCAUGUUUUCAAGCUUGUCCCCGGCGAUGUGCUAGGAAUCUGCAGCGUCUGAAGUUCUAUUUAGGCUGUUAAGCAUCUAUUCUUCAGAAAGUUCAGUUUCGUUAGUAGCACGGACGCAAACCAGUGCAGUGCGCCAUCGGGAGGUCAGGUCACCGCCGACUUAAGUUAUGAAGCACGUCAGAUCAUACAACAGAGUCAGUACUGAUAAAGUAAGAAUAAUUCCCAACUAAUGAGACACCCCAAAACUUAUCGGCAGUUCUACUAACUUAAGGAAUUACAACAUUGAAUAUUUAUGAUGAUAUCUAAACCUCAAGCAGGUGACACCGGCUGCAGGGCUCCAAAACAUUUAACUCGACUGUGGAGGGAACUUUCGGCUUUAUGUACGUUUGGAUAGCCAAGAGUGCUCUAUGGGCUUCCAUAAGUGCAUUCCUGCGCAUUGGCAAGCAUUUUCCAGAUUUGUUGACAGAACAUGAACAUCUAGGCGCACCAUGAGUGGUGUCCAUUGUAAGGCACUCGAGUGACGUUGUAGAAUCAAGAAUAUGACAUGUCAACUCAACCAAGGUCUUUAUAGAAGAGAAAUUGAUCAUCCACACACGCUUGAGCUUGUUGUGGCGGUGCUCUGAUAUCUUCCUUAGAUUUGAGGGAUCUUCAAGAAGUGAGAUACGCUCCAUUGAUUCCUCCGGGCGCACCUACAGAUGAGAAAUCAAAAUUAUUAAAAUAAUUGUACUGUGCUUACUUAAUAUCUUUGCAGGAUGAACAAUGACUUACAUUCAAGAUGAAAGUCUCCAGGGAAGGAGAAGCAUAAAAGAAAGAAACCAGAGAAAAAACGUCAUAUGUCUGUCCACCAAGAGUAAUAGUCAAAAACUUGAGGUGAAGGAACUUGCUAGGCACCAUUGGCGUAUUGACUGUCUGCAAAAUAAAAUGUGGAUUUAAUUAUAACUAUAGUGUGUUCCUUCUAUAAAAUAACUAUAUGCAGUUGCAUUUGUUUAUACCUCAACUUCAGAAUAUAUGGAAAGAGUUUCGAGAUUUGCCAUGCUAGAUGGAAGCUCAGUACGAGCAUAAAAGACAGUACCAGAACAGAAUCUUUCAUAUUUCUUAAUUCGUGAUGUUCCCAGAAGCGAGAGUUGUAUAUUGAGGUCACCAGCAAAGCGAAAACUCGAUAGAUUCGGAGCUUUGCUCUCUACCACAUGCAACCUGGAGCAAGUUAUCACCUCCAAGUGGCUAAGCUGCUGCAGGCAAGGUAUUUUCAGGCAAAUAAUUCCACUGCAAAGCUUGAGUUCCAACCACUCCAAAGCAAAAGAACUGGACAGUAGACAUUCUAACUCGUCCCCAGUGAUACGCACUGAACACAGCGCGAGUCUUGUCAAGCUUCUCAAGCAACCAAGUCUGACCGUGGGAUGAAAGUUACAGCUGGAAAGGUGAAGGUAUCGAAGUGAGUCUCCAAUUCCAUCAGAUAAAAGUGAGCAUGGGAAGUUAUACAUUGCACUUCUUUCAGACAGAGAAAGGUCCAGUUCUUCAAUCCCUGGUUUAAUGGCAAUCUGAAGCCAAUUCUCGAGAUCAACAAGACAAAUCUCUUGCUUAUUAGUUUUCAAAAAAACCUCGUGCUUAUUGUAAACAUUGAGUUUGAAUGUCUUCACGCCAAUGCCAGAGUGUUUUUUCAGAAUGUGAUGAACUGUACUGGCAAAAUCUCUUGAUUUUUUAUCAUUUCCGCAUGCAUUUUCAUUUAAGCCCAAAGUCUCCACAGUAAAAGCGAGGUUGGGAUAGCAUCUCCAGGAACCUAAAAAUGCUCGAGACACACAGGCAGCUUGGGCAGCAUCUCGCAUUGGCAUUAGGGAAUGUAUAUGACACCAGAUGUCCUGCAAGUGUCCGUGGGAGAGAAAUCAACAAUGGAAUUGUAAAGGCAAACGAUUAGUCAGGAGAACAAAAAUAAUACAAUUGUACAGUCUUUAAAAAAGAAAUUGAACAAAAUAAAAAUUCUACCAUGAAUGCAAAUGGUUACUUCAGUUGGUAAAGUGCAAAGAAUUGCAGAGAUGGACAGUGCUUUGGAAUGUAAUUGUGUAAGCAUACAGAUUCUCGCGCAAAAGCCCUUCUGGAUGGCUUUACCAAAAGGACACUCGUGUAGGAGUCCGGUGCAGAUAACUAUGAAAAUCUACUCUUGCAUGCUUUAGGAAUGCAGUACAGAAGUAGUUAACAAUAGGUUUCUGACAUUUGCGCCAACCAAAAUGCACGAAAUUAUUUUUAUUGAACAAUAGUAUGCUUGAAAAUAGAAAUAUCAAAUAAGUCAAUGUAGUAAAGGAACAGACAAACGUGUACAGUAGUGCAUCUGAAUAUAUUAGCAGUCAGAAAGCACAUGAAAUAGAAACCUGCUUUGGAGACUAUAGUGCUACACUAGAUCCAUAACCAAACGCAACUUACAUACUACGAAGAUGAGAAGAUAAUAUAUCAAACUCAUCAGGUUAUCGAAUGGAGCUCUAAAAGGACAAGCAGUUCACAAGUCCAUCACAGAAAGCAGAAAUUUUAUUAAAUUGUGUGUUCUGAGCUAAAGACAGUAUGGAAACUUAUGGUAACUACUUGCCAGCUGCCGAUAAGACAACCUCUUGAUGUGAUUAUUUAUGAAUAUACAAUAUAGGACGCCUAACGAUGAUUUGCAAUAUUUCAUUUUUAAGAGCAAGCGCACUAUGGCUGCUUUCAAUCUGGCCUUAAGUAGAAUGAUUGAGAGGGACUACUACUGUCGCAGGCCUACCUGCAAAUGCUGGUAAACAUUAUUACAAUAUCAUGUCUCCAUGUUUGACAAGUGGACGGUGCACAAGGUGGGUCACAUGCUGAGGGUAUGCCUAAGAGUAUAAAGCUUAAUCUUCAGACAUAUUACUAAGAUUAAUGAAACAACAUUAAUAGUUGCAUUUUUAGUAGACAUAGACAAAGGGCAAUCAGACUCUGUACAUUAGCAACAGAGACCACAUACUUCUAUGAUUUCAUAGAUAAAGGUGCAUGGAGUAUCUUCCUUGGGUUUUUUUUUUUUGGUAGAACAUGCCAAGCAUGUUUAUCAUUAAGUAGGAGAAAAAGCUCAGAAAAGGAGAAAAGAAGAAAGACGAGAAGCUAAGGACCCCCCCCCCCCCCCCCCCAAAAAAAAAAAAAAGGUUUUGAUUCUGGACCAUUUUUGCAUGGCAUGCGCUAAAUGUGGAAGAGGCUAGCAACAAAUCGCAACUUGAUGGGUUUUGUCAGUAUAAACAGUUACUAAUCCAGCAGGACUGCAGGAGAUAGCAACAUAAGAAGGUCAGCUCAUAAACUUUUGUUUAGCUAUCGGAGGUCCACCAAACAAGCAAGAGCUGGAGAUAGCAAUAGGAAGUCAACUCCUUGACAUGACAGAACAUACAAGGUGAUCUACAAUUCAUGACUGAACAUUCCUGCUAGGAGAGUUAAAUUCGCAGCAGAUGGAAUAAAACAGUUACUAAUCCAUCAGGGCCGUAGGACAUAGCAGCAUAAGAAGGUCAGCUCACAAAAUUUUGUUUAGCUAUUGGAGGUCAACUAAUUGUAUGCAAUUCAAGCAGGCAUAGUGAGCAAUGCAAUCCACCAGCAUCAAAGCCGUACCUCUGGAAGAUUUGGUCCUGAGUACCCCUUUAUUUGACCAUCCAGAGAGUUAUCAUCAUUUUGACAAGGUGAGCCCUUACGUUUCGCCCGUGAAGAAAUUGGUCCAUCUGCGGCAUAUCAUGCAUGAUUAUGAAUAACACAGGCAUCAACAGCUCAAGCACAAAAUCACAUGCAGAAAUCGUUGUUCUAUAAUCAAAUUUCAGAUGCAAGAAGUAGAACCCUUGCAGAUUUAGAAACCCCGUAGUGUUUCAGUUUAAUUAGAAAAAAAAAAGGAGAGGAUAAACUGCCCUUUCUAACAGACUCCAGUCUCCCGAAAUCUCAUCAAUUUUGCGUAUGGAAUCCUUUUUUUUUUUCUAACCGUACAGUGAAUCCCUUUUCAAAUUGCCUUUGUUCUCCUUCCACCCAAGGUCAGGACUCAGGAAUUCUUUUUUUUUUAUUCCUGAAUUUGCACGAGGGCUGCGGAUCUUUGUUGUUACACGGGAAGAGGCGGCUUACCACGGGCUUGGAUUUGGCGAAUACGCCGAUGCCGUUGCCGGCGCCGCUGCCGCUGCCGCUGCAAUGACACCAGCUGGUUCAGGUUCAGCAUCGCCAUGGCGCACUGACGCCUAUGUUUUCCUGCUCUUAUCCUCGAUAUAUCUUCCCCUCUGAUCUUCUAUGCGUAUUUAUUCCGUGCGCGGAGGGGAUCCUGAUCUCUCCCGCAAUUCGUAUUUGAAUCCAAUAAGGCAAUAUGGGAGGAAUCGCUCGUGCGGCGCUGCCAGGAACCGGAUUGGAAACGGGGCACUCGGCAGCAGACACCGCCCACGAAUCCAGUGCGAUUUCGUUGGACGACACGUCGGAAACCCGACGUGGCACGGGCCCACCUAUCAGUAAAGCAAAAAAAACUUAAACAAUAUCCCUACUACAAUUUUGGAGUCGAAGCCAAAAACAAAAGAAGAUUAGAAAACUCCAGCAGGCCCCUACUACAAGGCCCCAUUUUGCAUUUUUGCUAAUGGUCCAACAGUAGCAGGAGCCCGAACCCAACCAGUCACCAUAUUUGAAAUUUUUUAUUACAUGUAUUCUAAAAAGAUACUCCCUCGAUAUAGAAAAAGGAAGUCGUUUUGGACCGCAACACGGUCUCCAAAGCAUUACUUUGACUCCUUAUUUUUAUAAAAAUAUUUAUCAAAAAGUGAUAUAUGUAUAUUUUUAUGGAAGUAUUUUUCAAGAUAAAUCUAUUUAUAUGGCUUUCACAUUUCCAAACUCAACAACUUAAAAGUUAUUCAUGAUUUAUAUUUCCAAUGUUUGACCCAAACCUUGUCCAAAACGACUUUCUUUUCCUAUACGGAGGGAGUAUAUUCCAUUUGAACUAUGAAAAUGGCACCUUUAGAUUUGCCUUCAAAACAGGUCGUAAGUUUCUUCACGUGCCAAGACUGUAACAAGAUAUUAGUCAGGUGCAAUCCACUGUAGAAGAGCCAAGGACACUGCAAACGAGAGACUCCAAAAUAGACUGGAUGCAGCAACGACAAUGGCUGAGGUUCCCAAGGUUAGAAAUUCUGGUAAGUUUAGAAGCGACAGAGCAGUAUUGGCCCUCCCAAAGGCAGGCUCUGGUCAGUGCUUUCGUAUAACCGUAUACCAAACAAAGCAGAUGAAAUCAUUGAUGUUCUUAUUAGAUAUAAGUAUAUUUGGUAGUUGUAGAUAUAUAUCGUAGACUGCCAUAUGUAUUCGGGGAAGUUUUGCCCCCCAAAUCUCUGUACUCUAUAUAUACCGACCGAGGCCUCAAUGCAAUACAAUCCAUAUAUUAUACCCAAUUCUAUUCCUUCCUACAUGGUAUUACGAGUUUAGAGUUUCAGAUCCUACACCAAACCUUCCGCUUCCACUCGUCCUCCCUGCCUCCCGCGCGCCGCCAGCCAUCCUUCACGGCGCGCAUCCAGCGCCCCCCUCCCCCCGGGGAGGUUGCCCAUGACCUCCGCCGAGGGCAGCACCCUCCGUCUCCGCGGCGGAUCCAGUUAAUCCGCCACCCUCGUCAAGCAAGAUCAGAUCGUGAAGAAACUCACCUGGGUGCUGUCAUCCCUCCUUGUCUCCGCCGCCUUCGGCCACGCGCCUCUGCUCUCGCGCAGUCACCCUCGUCCGCGCGCCUCUGCUUCUCGCGCCGCCGCCCUCGUUCGCGCACCUCUGCUCCUCGCGUCUCCGCCCUCGGCCCCUAUAACAUCCGCAAAAAUCACCACCUUAAAUCACCCGCUAAAAAUCACUUUCAAAAUAUUUUUAACGUUGAGCUCUCGAAAACCCAAAAUCUUCCCGACAAUUUCGCUGUCCUAGCACCCAAGCCUACAACCAUCAUUUUAUCCUCUCCCGUAAUUUUCGCCACGUGUCGGUCGACAGACCGCCGCGCGUGCUCCGACCGCGUGUUGCAAUCGCCGCUGGUUUUCCCCUUCCUUUUUCUCUUUUUUUUCCCAAUCUAUUUCCUUUUUCUUUUUCUCCUUCUCUUUCUUCCUUUCUUCUUCUUCUUCCUUCUUCUUUCUUCCUUCUCCUUCUUCCUGGCGCACACUACCUUGGCGCCAUUACUCCCCUGACGCCCGGGCCCCCUGGUGCCCGGCCUCUCUGGCGCUCGGCCGACCCGGCCCCUGCGCACCCCGGGCCCCCUCUGCCGUGCCUGCGCGCCGGCCGUCCGGUCCCGACUGCCUGCGCCCGCGCUCCCCGGCGCUGACCCCACCGGCCCCUGCACCCCAGCAGGCGCCCGGCGCCGGCGUGCCGCCCGCGGCCACCCCUCUCGCCCGGCCGCCCCGGCCCUCCCUCUGGCACACUGAUUGCCCUAGUUCCACGGGCAUGCAUUUGUUGAAGCCAAGAGCGAAUUUGGGAUGUCUACUACUUUACAUGAAGUCCUCAUCGCAGACAUCACUCCAUCUUGGCUAGGAACAAUAGAUGCAUCCUACGAUCUGAUCCUGUGUCUCUACUAUAUUUGUAGACAACUGCUGGCGCCAACAGAUGUUUANNNNNNNNNNNNNNNNNNNNNNNNNNNNNNNNNNNNNNNNNNNNNNNNNNNNNNNNNNNNNNNNNNNNNNNNNNNNNNNNNNNNNNNNNNNNNNNNNNNNGCGAUGCGUAAGCCACUGUCGCCACCACCUCCAGGAGCGCCACCUCAAGCCACCGCCGGCACCCCCUUUCCGGUGCCGCCCGUCCAAGGUGAGAGGUCAAAAUGGAAUCCCCUCACCCUCCUCCACCUCUCCCCGCCGUCUCCCCUUGCCGCCGGCAAGGCCAUGGCCGGCCACCACCGACCAUCUCCUCCCUCUCCUUCUCUGUUCCUGAACCAAGGAAGGAGAAGGGAUAAAAGUUCCCCAAUUCCAAUCUAACCCUCCCUUUUCCCUAAAUUUCAAAUAAGUCCUUCCACCACUCUCAAGAGCUUCUCACAGAUCAGCCCCUCCACUCCCAAAAAUAUUUACAAAUAGGUCCCUGUUUUCUCGCGGAUUAGUCCUAAACUCUCUUUUAAGCCCCUAAUCCAUGUUUAACUCGUCAUUUCAUGCGCCAAACUUCCUCCAAUUAAUCCCAAAUUUGACCACGUCAUCCUCCAGUAUACUUCCCCCGAUCCAUAUCCAAAUUUCCCGAAAAUACUCAUUCUACCUAUUUUUCGUUCACGUUCUCUGUUCGGAGCUCAGCGGCUAAAAUCUUAUUUUCUUUUUUAUUUAUUGUGUGCCCGUUUGUGUGUGCCGUAGAUCGCAGAGUAUUCGUGGAGGAGUUUGACCGCGAGCCCGAGCCCGAGGACCAGCAGCGCGAGCCAGAACUCCCGGAAGGCUUUGAGGACGGCAAGUCCAAUCUCACCCUUUGAUGCAUAUUUAUUCCUAGUUUUUCAAACACAACCUAUCGGCCUAUUUUAUAAAAGUGCAUAUUGUUUUUAUGGCAAGACAUGGUUGGAUAGCCACCUCUUGAUUGUUAUGACUAUUCCUUGUUGUCCUAUAAUUAUCUCUAAAUAUGAUUUGCUCUGUUUAGAUGAUAAUUACUGCUAGAAUGCUUAGGAACUCGUUACUCAACUUCAAUCAUGACUACAAUGGUUUAUUUAGAGAAUAAAUACAUGAGUGUUUUCAAAUGAGAAAAUGGUUGUUCGGGUGUAAAGAGAGGGAAUGCAUAGAUGAGAUGGAUGGGUGUUUCUUGUGUGAAAUACCAAAUUGUGAGCUCGUACCUUAGUGGUUGAGCAAGGUUGGGAGAUAUCCAUCUUGUCAUGGUUAAGGACCGAGUUGAUGUGUCAUCUUGCCUAAUUCAACCAUCGUGCAACCACUCGACCGUUGUAUGGGCAAUGGCUUAGCAUAAAUCCCACUAGCUAAACUGUUAGUCUUCGGGUAAGCUGGUGAGCAACGGGAGCCCAUGGAAAAGGAGUAAGAUCUUUUUGACUUAGGUCCCGGUUACGGCCUCGUGGAUAGGUCCUUGUUGACUAGUCAGUCUUAGCUAAGGUGGGUAAUGGCUUUGUUAGGAUUCGCACCGGCACUAAGGUGAUCGUGCUGUGGUACCCUAUUUGUGGGAAAAGUGUACAACCUCUGCAGAGUUAAAACCUAUCCGGGUAGACGUGUCCACGGCAUUGGACGAGUUACGGCUUGGUCACAUAACUAGCACUUGGGAUUUAAUGGUUUUAUGGUGUGUGUAUGUUGAGUUUUUGGAAGUGUCCAACAGUUGUGCCGUGGGCUAUGGCGGACCGGGAGUCCGAUAGCAUUAAAAUUUGGAUCCUUUGUGUACGAUUAACCCCACUCAAUGUUUCGGUUACUAAAGGAAAAAAGCUUUACAAACACUCUUUUGAAAACAAACCCGUGCAUGUGAUGAAAAUCUAGCUUUAUUGCAACUAAACCUUAGCCUAUCCUUGCUACUAUCCGUUGCAUAUUCUUGAUUGUAUCACCCUCCGUGGAUGGGGUUGGACUUGUUGAGUACUCUUGUACUCACCGUUGCUUCGUUGCUACAGAGGAAGACCCGGACUUCGUCGCCGAGGACUUUGAGUAGGAGGUUGUGUCCGCACCCAACGCUGCCUGUGGUGUUGGCCGUCACAAGAUGCUUCUGCUGUCGUGUAGUCCCGAGUGCUGUCUUUUGGCAGCCGCUUGGUUAGCCGCUGUUAUUUAUUUGCUUCUUAUCACGGCGUGGCUUUCAUGCCCACUCCUUCGGGAGUUGUAUGGUAACUGAAUUAUCUGUUGAAUAAAUGUGCUAUCAGCCUCCUGGGACUGAUAUUUGCAACACAUUUAGUCUCUGCUGAUGUGGGGACGCUUCAGCCCCGCGCCUCUGCUUCUCGCACAUCUGCUCCUCGAGCCACCGCUCUCGGCCGCGCAUCCCUGCGCCGUCAGUUCCCCCGCGCCGCGCUCACCACCACCUUGCGCCGCCGUCUGUUGGCGCGCGAUUUUCUUGCGCCGCUCCGUCUUUUCUGCCUACGUGCACCUGAAGGUUCUACAUGAGAUGCUCUUGCUGUGUCUUCCUUUUCUUUUGCCCGACCAGAGAUCGGGAUUGUGUCGCCUACUGGCCGUCGACCUCUCGCCUCUACUUCAACAUCGGUGUCGACUUCACCAGCUCUUGCCCCAUCUCCGACUGUGUGGCUUGGUGCGAUGGACAGUGCCCUAGGGGACGUCCAUGUGCACCGUCCUCCUCGCUACUUCAUCCACAUGCCGACCUCCGUCAGCUCGUCGUCGCCUCCACCGACUUCACCCAUCGUCGUAUCGCCUCACGCAUACUCGGUCAGAUCAGCCAAUGUGCGUGAUUCACCCGGCUCCCAUGACGUUCGUCAUCGUAUUGCGCGCCUCUUCCCCGAGUAUGGAGGGCUACCGCUGCAUCGCCUCUUCGGGCAGCAGCGACGCCAUCCGUAGUCUCCUUCACCGUUGCAUCCUCACCACCACCGACCACAUCAACGACCUCAUUGUCAUAUGAGUCGCUGCGCCUUGCGCGCAUGGUUUUCGUCAGGAUGUUUGAGUUCUUCACCGUCUCCUUCGAGCUCCGUUGCCGCGUCAUCCAGAUCCUCAGGCCUUGCGUUAGAUUGUAUGGGUCUACCUCCUCGCUUCAUCCAGCACCACCUCUCGCCAACGUCGUAGUCUAAUCUCCACCUCAUUUGUCUACUACAGCAACUGCGGGCUGCAUCGGCAUCUUUUACCUCAUCGUUCUUCUACGCCUGCGACUGCCUUGGAGGCCUUCUCUGCUGGUUCCUUCGACGCUGACACAUGGUUGGUGCCCUCUACCUCGCACGUCUAGUAUUGGCAACACUGGUGCGGGCAUCAUCCCCAACUAGGCAGGCGAGUGCCCCACCGCGCAGGCGAGUGCCCUGACCGCACCGACGAGCGCAUGACCGCACGGGCGAGCGCCCUGACCAUCCGACCGCGCAGGUGCGCCCCCCGACCGCGCCAGCGAGCGCCCCGACUGUACCGGCGAGCCCUCCGACCGGUCGGACGAGCGCCCCGAUCGUGUGAGCGAGCGCCCCCACCGCACCUCCAGCUCCUCGUCGCCACCUCCUGCUCCUCCGCGCCCUGUCCCAACUUCCUCUAUGGGCCACCAUCCUCAUGGUGCCUCCUCGUGCACUCGCGGCUUCAUGUGCGACUCCCUCAUCGUCGGCAAACACUACGCACAGCAUCCUCGACCAUGGCUACUCGCCCUCCUGCUCGUGUACCUCGACAUCAGCACAAAGGGCUAUCAUCUGCAUGAGUUACUCUCCAGUUUUCUCUCAAGUCGCAGCAUCCGCACCGCACCGACGUUAUCACUGCGGGGGGGAUGUCAUCCCGUCAGCUUUUGGCCUUCGGGUUCUUCUCCAGUCUCACCAUCUGCGGUGCUCCCGCUAUGACUGCGGGGGGAUGUUAGAGUAUAUUUGGUAGUUGUAGAUAUACAUAUCGUAGACUGCCAUAUGUAUUCGGGGGAGCCUGCCCCCCAAGUCUCUAUACUCUAUAUAUACCGGUCAAGGCCUCAAUGCACUACAAUCCAUCUAUUAUACCCAAUUCUAUUCCUUCCUACAGUUCUAGUGGCAAUUUACUAAUCUGAAUUAGUAGUAACUUACCCAGCAGCUAGGCUAGAGCUAUGCUUCUAGUAUUUAUAUAGUCGGCCCGCCGCUUCACUCCUCUCAUGGUUCACCUCGUCGCCCUUCACCAGUGCAGGCAGUAGCAAUGGCAACUAGGUACGUUAGCUCAUUGCAACAUGCAAAAUAUUGCUUUGUAAACAGAGCUUGAAAGAUGCCUCCCUCUAAAGGGCAUGUCCACAUCGCAACAUGCAAAAUAUUGCUUUGUAAACAGAGCUUGAAAGAUGCCUCCCUCUAAAGGGCAUGUCCACAUCAUCUGACCACAGGGUUGCGGUGGUCACCGGAGGGAACAAAGGGAUCUGGCUGGAGAUCUGCAGGUAGUUCGUGAGCAGCGGUGAUCUUCCAUCUGCUGGACAUCGCGGAUCGGUCGAGCAUCACGCGGCUGGUGGAGUUUGUCAAGAUCAAGGGUGUGUUUGGUUGGGUUGUGGCUUUUGGAAAAGCUGUUGUGAGCUAUGGGUUGUGGACAAGUAGCUGUGAGAAAGCAGUUGUGGGAAAAGUAGAAGACCGUUUGGUUAGAGCAGUUGUGGCUUUUGAAUAAACUGUCGAGUGGAUCCUACAUGUCAUCCACAGUCCACCCUACUCAACUCUCUCCCUCUCUCACUAACGAGCGGGUCCUGCUCUCAUUCUCUUCCUCCCGGCCAAUACCUCCUCCUCGUCAACAUCCGUGUAUGCUAAGGGCGUGUUUGGAUACGAGAUACUAAAGUUUAGGAGGGUCACAUCGGAUGUUCGAAUGCUAAUUAGGAGGACUUAACAUGAGAUAAUUAUAAAACUAACUGCAGAACCCCUAUACUAAUUCACGAGAUGAAUCUAUUAAGCCUAAUUAAUCCAUCAUUAGCAAACGGUUACUGUAACACUACAUUGUCAAAUCAUGGACUAAUUAGGCUUAAUAGAUUCGUCUUGUGAAUUAGACUCCAUCUGUGCAAUUAGUUUUGUAAUUAUACUAUAUUUAAUACUCCUAAUUAGUAUCCAGACAUUCGAUGUGACAGGUACUAAAGUUUUGGAGGGUGCAUCCAAACACCCCCUAAGAUAUGUUGUGUUAACAUGUUUUCUGUAGGAAGAUUUAAGAACUUUAGUGGAUGGUUACUUGGGAAGUCUACAACAAAAUUAUGAGCUGGCCAAGAGUGUCUGGAUGUAAAUUUCAACAGCACAAAGAACGUUACCACUUGCCUGACACCCCUCCUGCUAUCCAAUUUAGGAAGGGUGAUGAAUGUUUCUUCACGAGUUACGCUUAAUCACCAAAGCAACUGUGGGUUUAUUUGUGAUGGAACAACUGCCCCACUUGUCCCGGAACCUAACGAUACAGGCGACGAAGAAGACGAUUGUGACCCUGACCUAGAUCUCAUCACCUCCGACGAGCUCUCUGCUGCCUCACCGUGGACACCCCAUCUGUGGCGUGAUGCCCUGCUGGUGACUCCCCGUCACCCGCGGCCACCCACAAACCGUCGGUUAGCUACUCUUGCGCCGACGUCCACAAAACCCUAAUUCCUCUUGGGUAUAGCGAGCCACUUAGGACCCUAGUUGGAUCGCCUUGUGGCCGAUCGUCCUCGUCGGUGCCACGAUUUUCCUUUUCCCACCACCGCUGCUGACGCUCAUGGCGACAGCUGGUGCUAGUGGAUCGCGAUCUGGAUUGGGACACUCUGGGGGAGAUGAGGCACAUGUGGCAGAUCUCCUGGAUAAGCUCAAUCUCACACGAGAUGAGGGUGAUGUUGCUGCCCUAAGUGAUGAGGAGAACGAGGAAGGCCAUGGUGGCAUGCAGUGGGUGGUGAUCAGCAAGGUUCUCUCCCCUACAACCUUGCACAUCUUGACCAUUGGAAGUGCAAUGAGGCCGGCUUGGGGUAACCCGUUCGGUCUCAAGUUUUGGUCUGCCAAAGAUAGAGCUGAGAAUCUGUUCAUCGCGGAGUUCGUUGAUCCAGCAGACAAGAAGAAGGCGGUGGAAGGAUCGACGUGGAUGGUGGGGCGCCAUGCUGUGGUGCUGCAGGAUUACGAUGAAACCCUAAAACCAUCCGAUGUCAAUUUUGAGUGAAUGGAGAUGUGGGUGAGGAUUCUAAAUCUCCCUUUCGGCUGGAUGAACGAGAGGAGGGGUGCUAGGGCUGCGGGCCUCAUUGGCAAGGUAAUCAAGCUGGACGUGGAUUCAGAUGGCAAUGCAAGUGGACCAUUUCUGCGCGUAUGAGUUGCAGUGGAGAUCGACAAACCUUUGCACAGGGAUGUACUACUCAAAACGAGUAGGGAAGCGCCACCGGACUGGUUUGAGAUCCAGUUUGAAAACUCCCCUUUUACUACUUUUCGUGUGGACGAAUGGGGCAUACCAAACUUGAAUGCCCAACCCAGCAAGGAAGAAUGCACUAAGGAAGCUCCCUUAUGAGAUGAAACUCCGAGCACCAGAAGAGAAGGUAGGAAAGCUGCAGAGUUUUGGCCAAGUUGCUGCGGAGCCUUUUGGCAACUCAAUGUUUAUGGAGUAGUUGUCGUCCUUGCACCACAGUUCAGCCGAAAGGUUGACAAAUGAUGGUACAACCAGGAGUACUGAGAUGGGAGAGGAGGCUACCUCACCUUUAAAACCCUCAUAGGGGGGCGGUGGUGGUAGGGCGGAGGACCAGAGGCUGAUGGCGGCCAAACCUUUUUUCUAGGAACGCACAGAUGCGAGGAAGACCUUUGUACCAUGCAAAAGGAAGUCAAGCGGCAAAGGAGGGGCUACUCCAGACCUAAACUUGCCGGCCAUUGAGGUAGCUGUGGUGCCGGUCGGGCUGGUUACUGACCGCAUCGCUCAACUUGGAAAUGCUUUGAACCGGGUUGAGGACAAUGUCAAGGUACAGAAGAAGCAGAAGACUACAAACAAAUCUCAUGCAGGAUCGCACGGGUCGUGGACCACAACCCCCACCGGGCACAAUGAAUCUGUUUUGCGUGAACUGCUGGGGCUGCGGGUAACUUGAGGCGGUUCAAGAGCUCCGCGAAGUGGUGGAGCAGUAUAGGCCUGUGGUGGUGUUUCUGUCGGAGACUCGGUUGAACAAGGAGCACGCGAUGGCGUUGAGAUUUUGGCUUGGUUUUGCUAAUGCCCAAGUUGUUGGUGCAGCUGGACAAAGUGGAGGUGUAGUGCUUUUCUAGCGGGGUGAUGUCACGGUGGCACUAUAGAGCAUGUCCAAAUCGCACAUUGAUAUGCUUCUGUCGUGUGCGGUUUUGAAUGUGCAACAAUGGAGGUUUUAGUUUUUCUUAUCUAGCGCGGUAGCUUCAGGUGAAUUGUUACACUCACAGUCUGGCUAUUUGGGUUCUUCAGGUGAACAAUGCAGUAAUUGGUGGGAUAGCCAUUGAUGUCGAAAGGUUAAAAGGGAUCCAAGAGCAGAAUUCUGAGGCAAGUCUUCAGCAAAUAGUCUGAAUAAUUCCUUACAUUUUGCAAAAAAAAAACGUGUAUGCUAAGAUAUGUUGUGUUAACAUGUUUUCUGCAGGAAGAUUUAAGAACUUUUGUGGAUGGUUACUUGGGAAGUCUGCAACAAAAUUAUGAGCUGGCCAAGGAGUGUCUGGAUGUAAAUUUUAACGGCACAAAGGACGUUACGACUUGCUUGAUCCCCCCUUGCUUGAUCCCCCGUGCUCCUGUCCAAUUCAGGAAGGGUCGUGAAUGUUUCUUCACGGGUUACUCAACUUAAGAUAACCUUAAGCACCAACCAAAACAAAAACUAAUUGCACCAAACCAGACACUGAAAUUUUCGCAAAAAUAUAAACUUGUGCAAAAUUUUGAACAAAUUCAUUACGCAAUCCUGUUCCUCUACGAGUUUUAUAUCAAAGCAACAAAACGAAUAACGUUGUGCAAUGCUUUUCUUUUCCCGGUUCAUGUCAAACGAGGGGGUCAUUAACGUGCUAAGCGACAUCGACAACCUCUUAGAGGAGAAGCUCGACGAAGUAACCUGCGCCUUCCUCUGACCGACUUCAAGGACGGGAACCUGGCCGCCCGCGGCUGGCUGCCACCGCCGGUGGCGUCGGCCUACGCGGCGUCCAAGGCGCUGGUGAACGCCUACUCGAGGCUGCUGGCCAGGAGGCAGCCCUCGUUGGUGGUGUGCUGCGUCAACCCGGGCUUCGUGAGGACCGGCAUGAGCUACGGCAUGGGACUCGUCUCCGCGGAGGCGGGGGCCAAGCCGCCCGUCGUGCUCGCCCUGCGGGACGAGCCGGGUGACUCCGGACUCAACUUUGAGCUGUUUGACGUUUGCGACUUGCGAGUUCCGAGAAGGGUGUGGUGUGCUGGCAUGUUGGGCCGUGACAGUCUGCUGUUUUUAAUAAACACGGUUUAGUUUCAUACUUGUGUUGUAAAGAAGCAAAAGAAACAUGAUUGAGGGCUGAACACCUGAAACAGUCGUGUAAACUGAGAGGAUGGAUCGAACUUUCGGAUCUCCUUUCAGAUCCCCUUUGCGUUGCUGUGUUGCUUGGAGUCGGAGAGCGCCCGUGCUUGGCCACGUGUUGGUUACCACGGCGAGCCGGCCGACCAUGACGAUGCCGCGCCCGGUGCCGGUCGCGCGGCCACGGCCACGUCAGCUAGAGCGGGAGGCACGGGCACGGCGCGCCAAGGGCCGCGUGGGCCGAGACUACCGCGCGGUCUCGGACUUUGAGCGGCCUACGGUCCCGUGCGCUCACUGUGGACGGUUCGAUCCCGCAGCCGCCGGGCCAUCCAAUAAAGAUUAAAGUUUAUUCGUGUGGCAUUCGAAUAUUUAGAUACUAAUUAUAUGGAUUAAAUAUAUGCUAAUUAUAAAACCAAUUGCACAGCAAACUAAUUCGUGAGACGAAUCUAUUAAGCCUAAUUAAUCCAUUUGAUAAUGUGAUGCUACAGUAACUAUGUGCUAAUCACAAAAUAAUUAGGCUUAAUAGCUUCGUCUCACGAAUUACCCUCCAUAUGUUGCAAUUAGUUUUGUAAUUAAUCUAUAUUUAAUACUCCUAAUUAGUAUCUAAAUAUUCAACAUGACAGGGACUAUAAGCAUGCAUUUGAUUUUGGGACGACGUGGGUCGGGUCGGAGCCAACCCCUCCUUUUGUGGGUUAGAGUGAACUCAGCUCGUGUUUGGGGUGAGAGGGAUGGUUUGGACCCAGUCUUUUAAGAGGUUAAGAAGGUUGGGAUAGAUGUCCUUUUAACACCGUUAGUUGUGAGCUCCACCUGUCAUUCUCUUCUUUUUUUUCCCUCACUUCCAUCUUCUUCCUCCUCUUCUAUCUGGCUCCUUCCCGGCCGCCCCCACGCUGGCCCCCGCCUCCCCAGCCCAGCCACCCCCGCGCCAUCUCCUCCCCGGCCACCCCAACGCCGGCCCCCGCCGUCUCCUCUUCCACGCCGCCCAGCCUCGUCCCCGCCCGCCUCCUCCUCCGCGCUAUCUGGCGCCGCCCCUGCCUCCCCGGCCGCCUCUGCGCCACCCUGGCAUUGGUUGCCACCUCCUCCCCGCUGGCCUCCUCCUCCCCGCGCUCGCGCCAGGCCGGUUCCACGCACGCGCGCGGACGGACAGACGCGCUCGCCGUCCAUGCGAGUCGAGUGCGUCGCUCGUUUUUUGGAGGGACGCACUCGACCCACAUCUACGAGGUAUAUUUUUCUACUGGGUCUGACUUAGCUCCACCUUCUUGAACCAAACAUGGGUCGAAGUGAGUCGAACCCGUUCCAACCCAAUCCGAUGCAGUAACCAAACAGACGGUAAGAGCACGUCCAGGAUACGUGAGUGGCCGAAUCGCCAAGACAACUCAGCAAAUAUAUACGUGGAAGAGAGAGAAAACAAGAAAGAGAAGGCACUCGGCGCUUGCAUGAGCGACCAGCUGAGCGCGUCCUCCAAGACGCAGCAGCGCUGCUGGGUGGUUCAUUUGCUCCAGCUUCUGGGGCCCUCGUGUGCAUUUUUUUGAUGGAGAGAUGAGAUAGCAGGGUAGCUGACGAGUGGGUCCAUAUAAAUAAGAAAGUAUGUGUUGGAAUGUGGGAAGAGAUUGGACUCUAAACUUAUUUUUUGAUGACUUGACUUGGCUAUGAGCCAAGUUUAUUGGACCUGCUCUAAUGUCCGACUCGAACAGUCGAACUCAUGUGGGGCCCAGGAGUCCAGUUCGUACUCAGUUUCGGCGAGACGUGGCGCAAUAAAAGGCGAACCCCGUGCCUUCUCCACACGUACCAAAAAACGAUCAAAAGAGCGGCGUUGCGUGCCCUAGUUCAGGAGGAGUGAGGGGGGAGCGCCGCCGGCCGCCGCCCACCGAUCAAGCUAAUUAAGAUGGACAAGCAAAUGGUCUCCACGUUCAUGGAGAUCACGGCCUGCGAGUCGCAGGCUUACGCCGUGCAGCACCUCGGCUCGUGCCGCUGGAACCUGGACGAAGCAAUCAAUCUCUACUUCAACUCCGGCGACGGCGGCGGCGCCGGCCCUUCGGCCGUGUCCGCCCCGGUCCCGCCCGAGGAGGAGGUGGCGAUGAAGGAGGACGACGACAGCUACGACGCUGGCUUCGGCGGCGACGACGGCGUGCGCGCUCCUAUCCCCUCGUGCGUUGAAGCAUUGUACGAGGACGAUGCGUACUACGGCAACCACGACGCCCCCUACAUCGGGUUCGGGGAGGAGCCGUAUCCGCCGCCGGUGCCGUCGUUUCAUGCGCAAGCACUAAGUGAGAUAGAAGCGACCGGGUGGGGAGUCGCGGCGAAACCCGGCGAGAUAGCAGCGACCGGGUGGGAAGAAGCGGAAACCGGCGAUGGCGGACACGUCGGAGCGGAAGACGUCGACAGCGGCGAGUUCCACGACGAUGCGGAGCAAGAAGAUAGCAGCAGCAGCAGCGAAGAGGACAGCAACCUAGACGACAACAUGAGCUACAGUGACAACGAGGUCGACGACUACGGGUUCGAGAUGGACGAAGACGACUCGUCGUACUACGCCUCUAUAGAGGAAGACGGCACGGAGGAUGCCGGGGAGCAACCACGGCCGGCGCAGCCGCAGCAGCAGCAGGACUCGCUGCACGCGCUGUACCAGCCUCCGGUGGACCUGAUGUUCGUCGGAUCCUUCCACGACGCCAAGGUACGCGCGACGAGGGAGGACCGGUUCCUGCUGGUCAACCUGCAGACGCUCAUCGGCGCCGGCCACUUCCAGUCGAUGCUGCACAACCGGGACUUGUGGUCGGACGAGCAGGUCAAGAAUGCGGUGAAAGAAAGCUUCAUGCUCUUCCUGGUCCAGAAGAGUAGCACGAGUAGCUUCCAUUACUUAGACCAGUGCUCGAAGGUGUGUUCGUUCUACAGGCUCGAGGACGACCAACUGCCCGCCGUGCUGAUCCUGGACCCGAUCACGGGGCAGUUGCUGAACAAGUGGAGCGGCCCCAUGACACCCGACGAGUUCAUGGAGUACGUUGAUGCAUACACGAAAGAGAAGCCGAGCACGAUGUCCGUGCCCAAGUUCGUCAAGAGGACAUCCGCGCCUGCGGUUGCAGCUGGCGAGCAAGAACCGGCAUCUUCAUCUGCAUCGGCCGCUGCAGCCGUCGAACAAGAACCGGCGGCGACUGAGAACUCUAAACCUGAAAUUCCUAAGAACGCUGCCCCUGCCGGUGCCAGCUGCAGCGAGCAGGAGCCUGUACCGGCGCCCGAGGCUGAGCCACCCGCCGAGAUGGUCGAUGACGACGAGCCCAUGGAAGGCGAGAAGAUGUACAAGCUGAGGAUACGGUUCCCCGACGGCAGCAUGGUCCCCAAGGAGUUCGGCUGCAGGCGGAGGGUCGCGUCGCUCUUCGCGUUCUGCAGGUCGGCCGUGCGUGGCGGAGGGGAGGCGGCGGCGGAGCAGGCGGCGUUCCAGAUCAUGAGGUUCGCCGGCCGCGGCUUUGAGGCGGUGCAGGCUGGCGGCGCGACGUUCGAGGAUCUGGGCCUCAACUGCGCGACCGUGUCGGUUGUUUUCGAGCCGUAGGCUUUUAGUCUUUAGAAGGGCAAAUGAUAAUAGUCGACGGUGAAAGCUAGUACUUUGGUUCAAUUAAUAUGCCCCGAUGCAUUGGCAGUACGAUGAAUUGUUUCGGGGCUGCUACCGUCCGUACAUCCGAUCCGGGUCGCUGGCGUCGAAUGGCUGGGAAGUAGAAAAAAUCCCACUACAACAUGCGUCACGUCACAUGUUACAUGCAACAUGUAUAGAAUAAAAUUUCUAAAAAUACAGUUCAACACAUAAAAAGGCCCAUGGCAACAUUUGUGAAUUUUUCAAUCAACGUUUCAUUGGAAAAAUUCCUUUAAUCCAAAACAUCUCGCAACACCUUGUACAACAUCAUACAUCAUCUAUUGCAACAUCUCGAUUUUGCAGUUGCAAUAUCCCAAACCCAGAAUAAAAUCAUCAUCAACCUUCGUCAAAAAAAUCAUCAUCAACCAUGCAACAUAAAAAAAGUCACUGCUGUAACAUAUCAGAUUAAAUAUUGUAACAUCAAAAAAUUGAACAUAGUAUAGAACAUCUCAAAAAUCAAUCUUGCAACAUUAGCCAACACUACUCAAAACAUCUCAAAAUACCUAUUGCAACAUCACAAAAUCUUAAUGCUACAUGGAUGAUUGGUGCCUCUCAUGGUGGAGUCUUCUUCCUCCUGGAGCAUGAUAGUGACCACCAUGGAGUCUUCCCCGCGCCUGCCGCCCGCCGCUACCCUCCACGCACAUAGCAACCUAUGCUCACUUCACUAGCACCUACUUGCUGCCACCGCCACCAGCCUUGCCACCACGUGCCUCUGCCCACACGUGACUCUUUACUUGCUGGCUGCUGCCGUCGCCGGCCUCACAUGCCGACGGCCCCACCGCUCGCGCUUGUGCCUGCCAGGCUCAUGCGCCGCCGGCCCCGCCACGCGUCGUGCGUGGCCUGUGACGAUGAGGCUCCGCGGCGCACCGGUGGCCCCUAGCCGCGGGGGAGCGGCGGCUGGCGCUCAAGCGGCCGCACGACGGAGCAACUCCCUCCGCAGCGGAGCAGCUCCUCCAGCCAGCUUUGGAGAGAGCUUUGGAGAGAGGGAGAUAGAGAGAGCUCGUGUGGAUAAAGAAGAAAGAUCAUGGGAGAGAGAUGG
rnacentral:lncRNA from 1 species